GUGUAGAGAUCCUCGCCCCCGGCACCGGCGGUCCCGCUACCGCUCGAGUUACCCUGACCCGUGCCUACCGCACCCCCGUGAGCCGGACCACCGGCUUCCAACCCUGAGGACAGGACAGACACGGUCCAGUUUGAUAAGAAAAACGGAAGGACGAGGAAAAAGGACCCUCAUUGGUAUGACAGCACAUCAUUGCGUGAAGAGCAGAGUACGGCAUAGCACGGGAUCAAGUACAAGUAUCGACAGCCGGUGGCGUCGUCAUCAGAGGCAACUCGAUCCUCACCGGUGAUUCCUCUGCUGUACAUGCUCAUAUUAUCCUCCGGUUUUGGUUUCUUCACGGCGUGGCUGGCUAUCGGGCAGCCCGACAAG